GAUGAACGCUGGCGGCGUGCCUAAUACAUGCAAGUCGAGCGAACGGACGAGAAGCUUGCUUCUCUGAUGUUAGCGGCGGACGGGUGAGUAACACGUGGAUAACCUACCUAUAAGACUGGGAUAACUUCGGGAAACCGGAGCUAAUACCGGAUAAUAUUUUGAACCGCAUGGUUCAAAAGUGAAAGACGGUCUUGCUGUCACUUAUAGAUGGAUCCGCGCUGCAUUAGCUAGUUGGUAAGGUAACGGCUUACCAAGGCAACGAUGCAUAGCCGACCUGAGAGGGUGAUCGGCCACACUGGAACUGAGACACGGUCCAGACUCCUACGGGAGGCAGCAGUAGGGAAUCUUACGCAAUGGGCGAAAGCCUGACGGAGCAACGCCGCGUGAGUGAUGAAGGUCUUCGGAUCGUAAAACUCUGUUAUGAGGGAAGAACAUAUGUGUAAGUAACUGUGCACAUCUUGACGGUACCUAAUCAGAAAGCCACGGCUAACUACGUG
rnacentral:rRNA from 1 species